GGGCCAAACUGGAAAAGUAAACGUUGAAAUAUGUAUAAUAUAAUAUAGUGUUGAUUUAAGCAUUUUGUAGGAAGAUGAGAAAAUGGAGAGAAUCUUGACCUUGUGCUUGGGGUGAACAUUACGAUGUCAAUGGAUAUCAUGUUUUAGGUGAUUUAGCCACUGUAGCAAACUGCACAUAGAACAUCACUGGACAUACUCAGGAAAAUCUGUGGUAUCAAGUCUCUAUGCCUGUAACUUACUCAGGCUGAAAUGGCUCUGCUCCAAAUGCCUUGUAGUGGACAGCACAUUCCAGGGCCCAGUUUAUGGGGGGGCAUCCCUUACCAUAAUAGUGGACAGAGGUUUGUUACAUUUUGAUUGGAUUUUGGUUAACUAACAUAAGCAAACUGUCCAAUGCCAUCAGAUAAAGAUGCCAGGACAACAGUCAGACACCUCUUAGAGGGAAAGAAGACCUUUGGUACAAAGCCUGGGAAGGACAGAACUUCCUAUUGGUCAAAAUGCAGUUUGUGCCCUCCACCCAGCUUGAGACUGAUUCCUAAGGUUUUGGCCUGUGACCGAUCCAGAUGCAGCAGCAGUGAGUGAAACAAAGAGAGAUCAUGGAGAUCUAUGCAAAUCCAUUCAUAACUAGGUUUUCAAACCUUAAAACUGAUGCACACUACAACACACACAUCUUAUACAUCUUAUAUCAGAGACAUAAGUAUUCUUAGUGACAGAUGUGUAGUGCAACAUCUUACACAAACUCAGCUGUUAAUGGACAAAUGAAUGCAUGCAUGACAGUUCAGUCUUUUCCCAUCAUGUGGACUUAAUGUGUUCUGUAACAUUGCCAAAUGCAUUCUGGUUAUGGUUUGGAAAGUGAGAAAUGCACCGGUAAAACUUUACACUUUUCUAACCCUGUGUUUGGACUAUGCAAAUAAAUUCCACAGGAGGAAAGAAGGGUGGGCCACCACGUGUCCCCCACUCUGAUGGAACCAGCCAAUCACAGCACGGAAAUGGAGAAGCGCCAAAUUGCAAUCUCCUCCUCAUUGGAAAGGGAUAAACGUACAUUGUUCUAAGUCUCCUGUUCAGAGAGACAGUAACAGAUACACAGUUCUGAGUCUGAGUCCUGUGAAGGAAAAGGCACAAACAGGACAACCUCCAUUCUGAGUCUCCGGCCUGCAAAGGUGAGACAAUAGCAGAAACAACAAGGUUCUGAGUCUGCCGCCCAUCAAGGAAAGGACUAUAACAGAACAACGUUCUGAAUCUCCAGCCUGUUACCAGGAAUGCAGCAACAGAAACACCCCGUUCUGAGUCUCCGGCACAUCCAAGAGACACUAACAGAUCAACCAGUUCUGAGGCUGCGACCCACAAGGGUGAGACAACAACAGAUACCAAGUCCGAGUGAGGCAGCAACAGACACAUUCCCACAUUCUGAGCCUCCAGCCUGCGAGAAAAGAGAUAAUCUACAUUCAGAGUCUUCGUCCAGCAAGACAACAACAGAUGCAGCAUCCUGAGUCUCCAUCUUAGGGAGACAAAGCGGAUUGACCAAGUUCUGAGUCUCUAGCCCAGAGAGGCAGAAGACACACAGACAUUUGCAAUAAGGUUAAGCCCUGGUGAGCAAGGGCCACACUCUAGGGCCACAUCUGUGUGUUCCAGAUCUUAGGACCCUUUGGUGCUCCAGGAGAUCAGCAUACUACAGCGCUUCAUGUUCAAGGCUGUCGAAACGGAUUCCUGCUCCUUCCCCCACUGUACGGCCACCAGCGCAACCACACUUAACUACAGCGAAUAUUCCAUGGAUCCCAGACAGGAUGACCAACACACCCUUCAGCGGUCAAUAGAACAUGUGUGCCUAAGUGUCUAUAAAAAAAGCAAGCCUCUAUAAUCAAACAGACCGCAACAAGAUUCAACAAUUGCGGUGAUGGAAAUUUAGGGAAGAGAAAAGAAAACUCUGAAGCAAUCAAACGAUACAAUAAGCAAGUGCCAGAGGAGGAGGGCAUAAAUGAGGAGAUGGUGGAGAGCCGACUCUCUGUGGUGGGCCAAGGCAGUGGGGAGGAAAGUCUAAUAUGGCCAUGGGAGGUUCACAGAACUGGUAUGGAAUAACUUCUGUGAGGGUGAGGGAUUACUUUGAGCAAACAGAUGUUGAUGCAACUUAAUGGGCAUGUAUGCUAUACAACUGUAUUGUAGCUUACAGAUCAAUCCUGUUGACUGGCUCAUUUGUAUGACUUUAGAAUCCACAAACAUCCUCACUAAGAAGAUCAUCUUCGAUGUCAAAGAUGCAGCUGCAAGAAGAGAAGAUCCUUAUUCUUAGGGAGAUGAGAUAGCACCUACCUCAGAGGGCUGGCUGACGGCAUUAGGAAGCUGAUCACAGAAAUGUCUGGAGGAAACCGUGGUAAGAACAUAGAAUAACACUAUAGAGGUGCCAUGUUUGAAAUGCUGUUAUAAUGCUUUUCAGAUAUGGAAAUGUAUGGCAGCUAUCUUAACUGGGUCUGGGUCUAAAUGGGUAAGAAUUAAUGUGUUCCAUUACUUCCAUUAAUGUGUGCCUCCUUUUCUUUUUACAUUUCCUCCUAGGUAGUUUAAAGGGAUAGUUCACCCAAAAAUGAAAAUUUGAUGUUUAUCUGCUUACCCUACCCUUAAUCUUUGAGAGUAAAAGAAACAUACACAAACAAAACCAAAUUAAACCCUGGGACACUGAUGUCCUAAGACACGAAACGAUCGGUUUGUGCGAGAAACUGAACAGUGUUUAUAUCAUUUUUUACCUCUGAUUCACCGCUACGUCCUACUGUCCUGAGCUCUUGCACAGCAUCUGGCGUGUGACGUGUACAUGCUCUGGCGUAGUAUACGCAAACGCCGGAAGCGCGUACACAGACAGUGUACAUAUGUCACACAUUUUUUUUUACUCUCAAAUAUUUGGUAGCCAUUGACUGCCAUUAUAUGACUGACAGACUGCAACAGUUUGAGUUAAAAAUCUUCAUUUGUGUUCUACUGAAGAAACAAAGUCACCUACAUCUUGGAUGCCCUGGACCUCUAUAGCCUGAAGACUAGUCCAAGGAGAUACUGGAUGAGAAUAAAGGACUUGAAUACGAGAGGACAAUGAUUUUGAAGAUGUCUAAUUUGUGAAUUUGUUUCUGUAUUGCUUGCCUGAUUAUUUCUUGGAGUAUUUCUUUGGGUGGUUUUGGACAAUACUUAUUUUAAUAGUUAGUCUCCCUCAUUUCUUUUUAAAUACCAUUGCCUUAAUAGCGAUGAGUCAGAUUUAUUUCAGUGUGACGAGACA